UACGUAGGGUGCAAGCGUUGUCCGGAAUUAUUGGGCGUAAAGAGCUCGUAGGCGGUCUGUCGCGUCGGCUGUGAAAUCCCGGAGCUCAACUCCGGGUCUGCAGUCGAUACGGGCAAACUGGAGUACUGCAGGGGAGACUGGAAUUCCUGGUGUAGCGGUGAAAUGCGCAGAUAUCAGGAGGAACACCGGUGGCGAAGGCGGCUUCCUGGUCUGCAACUGACGCUGUGGCGCGAAAGCUAGGGGAGCAAACGGG
rnacentral:rRNA from 1 species